rnacentral:piRNA from 1 species
UGAAUCAGAGUUUGAGUUUGU